CGAAACAGAGAGGAAAUCCGGUGGAGGUGUUUGAGCAACACUGGACUGUGACUGGAGCAGAGAUGGAUGGAAAGGUAUGUCCUGCUGUGGUGUCGCUGUGUCUGUCUGGCUUGAAGGCAAUUGUUUGGUUGUGGUCGACUGUGCUCAGAAGAUUAGGCCUACGCUGUGUGGAGAGGCUUUGGGGGUCCAAGGAGAUAGAGGAAACCACUCCAUUAAUGUGAUUGUUUAAGUUCAUGUAUUUGCAUUUCUAUUAAUAUUCACUGUUUAUUUGUAAAUGCAGUAGCUAACUGUUCUCUUUCUUUCAUCAGAUGUUUUGUUUGUCGCUGUUUUUGGUCUGUUUUUGUGAUCGUCAGCUAUUUAGCCUAGUAGUAGCCUAGUCUCUGUGAAAGCCCUGUUGUAGUCCUAUAGGCUUCUUUAGAAAGUGUGAGCCAUCCAGUGAAAGUAGGCUAACUGAGCUCCACGUCGUCAUUUGUAUACUCGCGUUAAUGUGUUUUACUAUUAAUCUGUCUCAAACACGCAAAUGUAAACCUGAAGCCUUUCAUAAACUUUGCCUUUUCUUUUUUGAGGAGCAUUUUGCUCGGAGACUGUCUUUGGGUAUUGCCUUCGUUGGUCCACUGUUGGUGCAGCGUCGGUGAACUGGUUUUUUGGAUGUGGUGCUCUGAGUUGGGAACCAUGGGUCUCAUGAUGAUGCAGAAUGCAUUGUUGUGGGGUCUUUGGAUUUUAGCUGGGGGUGUUUGUCUUGGGUCUGGGUUGCUGGUGUGUGUUGUGUUCUGGGGCCUGUACUGGCGGUGGA